rnacentral:rRNA from 1 species
AGAGUUUGAUCCUGGCUCAGGACGAACGCUGGCGGCACGCUUAACACAUGCAAGUCGAACGAGAGAAGAGGAGCUUGCUUUUCUGAUCUAGUGGCGGACGGGUGAGUAACACGUGAGCAAUCUGCCUUUCAGAGGGGGAUACCGAUUGGAAACGAUCGUUAAUACCGCAUAACAUAAUUGAACCGCAUGAUUUGAUUAUCAAAGAUUUAUCGCUGAAAGAUGAGCUCGCGUCUGAUUAGCUAGUUGGUAAGGUAACGGCUUACCAAGGCGACGAUCAGUAGCCGGACUGAGAGGUUGAUCGGCCACAUUGGGACUGAGACACGGCCCAGACUCCUACGGGAGGCAGCAGUGGGGAAUAUUGCACAAUGGAGGAAACUCUGAUGCAGCGAUGCCGCGUGAGGGAAGAAGGUUUUAGGAUUGUAAACCUCUGUCUUCAGGGACGAAAAAAGACGGUACCUGAGGAGGAAGCUCCGGCUAACUACGUGCCAGCAGCCGCGGUAAUACGUAGGGAGCGAGCGUUGUCCGGAAUUACUGGGUGUAAAGGGAGCGUAGGCGGGAUCGCAAGUCAGAUGUGAAAACUAUGGGCUUAACCCAUAAACUGCAUUUGAAGCUGUGGUUCUUGAGUGAAGUAGAGGUAAGCGGAAUUCCUAGUGUAGCGGUGAAAUGCGUAGAUAUUAGGAGGAACAUCAGUGGCGAAGGCGGCUUACUGGGCUUUAACUGACGCUGAGGCUCGAAAGCGUGGGGAGCAAACAGGAUUAGAUACCCUGGUAGUCCACGCCGUAAACGAUGAUUACUAGGUGUGGGGGGACUGACCCCUUCCGUGCCGCAGCAAACGCAAUAAGUAAUCCACCUGGGGAGUACGACCGCAAGGUUGAAACUCAAAGGAAUUGACGGGGGCCCGCACAAGCAGUGGAGUAUGUGGAUUAAUUCGAAGCAACGCGAAGAACCUUACCAGGUCUUGACAUCGUAUGCAUAGCUCAGAGAUGAGUGAAAUCUCUUCGGAGACAUAUAGACAGGUGGUGCAUGGUUGUCGUCAGCUCGUGUCGUGAGAUGUUGGGUUAAGUCCCGCAACGAGCGCAACCCUUACUGUUAGUUGCUACGCAAGAGCACUCUAGCAGGACUGCCGUUGACAAAACGGAGGAAGGUGGGGAUGACGUCAAAUCAUCAUGCCCCUUAUGACCUGGGCCUCACACGUACUACAAUGGCUGUCAACAGAGGGAAGCAAAGCCGCGAGGUGGAGCGAACCCCUAAGAGCAGUCUUAGUUCGGAUUGUAGGCUGCAACCCGCCUACAUGAAGUCGGAAUUGCUAGUAAUCGCAGAUCAGCAUGCUGCGGUGAAUACGUUCCCGGGCCUUGUACACACCGCCCGUCACGCCAUGGGAGUCGGUAACACCCGAAGCCUGUAGUCUAACCGCAAGGAGGACGCAGUCGAAGGUGGGAUUGAUGACUGGGGUGAAGUCGUAACAAGGUA